CAGUCGAACGAACUCUGGUAUUGAUUGGUGCUUGCAUCAUGAUUUACAUUUGAGUGAGUGGCGAACUGGUGAGUAACACGUGGGAAACCUGCCCAGAAGCGGGGGAUAACACCUGGAAACAGAUGCUAAUACCGCAUAACAACUUGGACCGCAUGGUCCGAGUUUGAAAGAUGGCUUCGGCUAUCACUUUUGGAUGGUCCCGCGGCGUAUUAGCUAGAUGGUGAGGUAACGGCUCACCAUGGCAAUGAUACGUAGCCGACCUGAGAGGGUAAUCGGCCACAUUGGGACUGAGACACGGCCCAAACUCCUACGGGAGGCAGCAGUAGGGAAUCUUCCACAAUGGACGAAAGUCUGAUGGAGCAACGCCGCGUGAGUGAAGAAGGGUUUCGGCUCGUAAAACUCUGUUGUUAAAGAAGAACAUAUCUGAGAGUAACUGUUCAGGUAUUGACGGUAUUUAACCAGAAAGCCACGGCUAACUACGUGCCAGCAGCCGCGGUAAUACGUAGGUGGCAAGCGUUGUCCGGAUUUAUUGGGCGUAAAGCGAGCGCAGGCGGUUUUUUAAGUCUGAUGUGAAAGCCUUCGGCUCAACCGAAGAAGUGCAUCGGAAACUGGGAAACUUGAGUGCAGAAGAGGACAGUGGAACUCCAUGUGUAGCGGUGAAAUGCGUAGAUAUAUGGAAGAACACCAGUGGCGAAGGCGGCUGUCUGGUCUGUAACUGACGCUGAGGCUCGAAAGUAUGGGUAGCAAACAGGAUUAGAUACCCUGGUAGUCCAUACCGUAAACGAUGAAUGCUAAGUGUUGGAGGGUUUCCGCCCUUCAGUGCUGCAGCUAACGCAUUAAGCAUUCCGCCUGGGGAGUACGGCCGCAAGGCUGAAACUCAAAGGAAUUGACGGGGGCCCGCACAAGCGGUGGAGCAUGUGGUUUAAUUCGAAGCUACGCGAAGAACCUUACCAGGUCUUGACAUACUAUGCAAAUCUAAGAGAUUAGACGUUCCCUUCGGGGACAUGGAUACAGGUGGUGCAUGGUUGUCGUCAGCUCGUGUCGUGAGAUGUUGGGUUAAGUCCCGCAACGAGCGCAACCCUUAUUAUCAGUUGCCAGCAUUAAGUUGGGCACUCUGGUGAGACUGCCGGUGACAAACCGGAGGAAGGUGGGGAUGACGUCAAAUCAUCAUGCCCCUUAUGACCUGGGCUACACACGUGCUACAAUGGAUGGUACAACGAGUUGCGAACUCGCGAGAGUAAGCUAAUCUCUUAAAGCCAUUCUCAGUUCGGAUUGUAGGCUGCAACUCGCCUACAUGAAGUCGGAAUCGCUAGUAAUCGCGGAUCAGCAUGCCGCGGUGAAUACGUUCCCGGGCCUUGUACACACCGCCCGUCACACCAUGAGAGUUUGUAACACCCAAAGUCGGUGGGGAACCUUUAGA
rnacentral:rRNA from 2 species